rnacentral:rRNA from 1 species
AUUGAACGCUGGCGGCAUGCUUUACACAUGCAAGUCGAACGGCAGCGCGGGCUUCGGCCUGGCGGUGAGUGGCGAACGGGUGAGUAAUGCAUCGGAACGUGCCCAGUAGUGGGGGAUAGCGCGGCGAAAGCCGGAUUAAUACCGCAUACGACCUGAGGGUGAAAGCGGGGGACCGAAAGGCCUCGCGCUAUUGGAGCGGCCGAUGUCGGAUUAGCUAGUUGGUGGGGUAAAGGCUUACCAAGGCGACGAUCCGUAGCUGGUCUGAGAGGACGACCAGCCACACUGGAACUGAGACACGGCCCAGACUCCUACGGGAGGCAGCAGUGGGGAAUUUUGGACAAUGGGGGCAACCCUGAUCCAGCCAUGCCGCGUGCGGGAAGAAGGCCUUCGGGUUGUAAACCGCUUUUGUUCGGGAAGAAAUCCUCUGGGCUAAUACCCCGGGGGGAUGACGGUACCGGAAGAAUAAGCACCGGCUAACUACGUG